rnacentral:rRNA from 1 species
CUACAAUGGCCGGUACAAUGCGAAGCGAAGCAGUGAUGUGAAGCAAAUCGCACCAAAGCCGGUCCCAGUUCGGAUAAGAGGCUGAAACUCGCCUCUUUGAAGUCGGAAUCGCUAGUAAUCGCAGAUCAGCAUGUUGCGGUGAAUACGUUCCCGGGUCUUGUACACACCGCCCGUCAAACCAUGAGAGUCACCAACACCCGAAGUCCGCUUUGGCGGCCUAAGGUGGGGGAGAUGAUUGGGGUUAAGUCGUAACAAGGUAUC